AAGCCUGGAAAUCCUUUGCUUCCAGCUCUGCAUCUGAAGGCAAAAAAACAAUCCUCCGGAGAUUCGGCCCUCCCACUGCCUGUGAUAGGCUGCUUGGAAUAGCAAGAGCCUGUGUCACCGAAAAGGGCAAAGCUUUCGGAAAUAGAAACAAAGUUGGUCACAAAUCACAUUGGCUUUGCCCGAAGUUUUUUUUCACCUUUCUUUAGCAUGCGACCAUGGGGAAAGUGACCGCUCGUGUCAGUGGGGGAAGUCAGGGUGGUUUAGUGCCCAGGGAACGGCUGUAACUUCUACGUGACCAUGGUACCUGUUGAAAACGCAGAGGCCCCCAGUCUGCUGAAACCGAAGGGGCCAGCAGCCGAGACUGAUGGCAGCGACAGAGACAGCGGCGGCCGGCAUCCUCCCUGGGCAAGAGGUUGCGGGAUGUUUACUCUCCUGUCAUCUGUCACGGCUGCUGUCAGCGGCUUCCUGGUGGGGUAUGAACUUGGGCUCAUCUCUGGGGCUCUUCUGCAGAUAAGAACCUUGUUAGCCCUGACCUGCCACGAGCAGGAAAUGGUUGUGAGCUCCCUCCUCAUCGGGGCCCUACUGGCCUCUCUCAUCGGAGGGGUCCUGAUUGACAGGUGCGGAAGAAGGGCCGCCAUCAUCCUUUCAUCCUGCCUCCUUGGACUUGGGAGCCUGGUCUUGAUCAUCAGUUUAUCUUAUGCGGCUCUCAUAGCGGGACGCAUUGCUAUUGGGGUUUCCAUUUCACUCUCUUCCAUCGCCACGUGUGUCUACAUCGCAGAAAUUGCUCCCCAACACAAGAGAGGCCUUCUUGUGUCGCUGAACGAGCUGAUGAUCGUCAUUGGCAUCCUUUUUGCCUACAUUUCAAACUACGCGUUUGCCAAUGUUUCCCACGGCUGGAAAUACAUGUUCGGCCUUGUUAUUCCCUUGGGAGUUUUGCAGGCGAUUGCGAUGUACUUUCUUCCUCCAAGUCCUCGGUUUCUGGUGAUGAAGGGACACGAGGAAGCUGCUAGCAAGGUUCUCGGAAAGCUGAGAGCCAUCUCCGAUACAACGGAGGAACUCACUGUGAUCAAAUCUUCCCUAAAAGAUGAAUAUCAGUACAGUUUUGGGGAUCUGUUUCGUUCAAAGGACAACAUGAGGACCCGAAUCAUGAUAGGCUUAACAUUGGUAUUUUUUGUACAAAUCACUGGUCAGCCAAACAUAUUAUUCUAUGCAUCCACUGUUUUGAAGUCCGUUGGCUUCCAAAGCAACGAGGCAGCCAGCCUCGCCUCCACAGGGGUUGGGGUUGUCAAGGUCCUCAGCACCAUCCCGGCCACCCUGCUUGUAGACCAUGUCGGGAGCAAAACCCUCCUCUGCGUCGGCUCCUCUGUGAUGGCAGCUUCGUUGGUAACCAUGGGCAUCGUGAAUCUCAACAUCCAUAUGAACUUUACCAAUAUCUGCAGAAACCAUAGUCCUAUCAACCAGUCUUUGGAUGAGUCUGUGCUCUAUGGACCAGGGAACCUGUCAGCCAGCAAUGACACUCUUAGAGAAUCCUUUAAAGGGAUGGCUUCCCGCAGCAGAAGCUCACUAAGGCCCACGAGGAAUGACCUGGAUAGGAGAGGAGAAACAACCUCGGCAUCCUUAGCGAAUGCUGGACUAAGCCAAACUGAGUACCAGGUCAUCACAGACCCUGCGGACGUCCCAGCUUUUUUGAAAUGGCUGUCCUUGGCCAGCUUGCUUGUUUAUGUUGCUGCAUUUUCAAUUGGUCUAGGACCAAGUUCCAUAUUGGGGGUGUUGAAACCAUCCUUGUCAAAACCUUUGUCAAUUGUUGCAACAUCCAGUUUGUCAAUAUUACAAAAACCAAGGCAUCGAUUCUUGAAUUUUCUCCACUAGAUCAAAAAAGAAGUAGUCGCAUUCAGCAAUGAUAUAUUACUUUUGGAAAUGUCAGGUGUAAGUUUUGCCUGACAACAAGGGCCCAUCAGAGACUGACGGAAGUCUGUUUUUCAGUAUUCAGUUCAUUGCUCACUGACUGGUUAAACUGCCCAAGAACUUGGCUCAGCUGCUGCACUGAAUGCAUGUCUAGGACAGGCUUCAGUGUGGUUGCUGGGUGCUUUUAGGUGAGCCCUUGACAGUUCAGACUGAGCACUUAUAACUAGUGCUUUGUGCAACUGUCCCAUCUUCUUGUUGGUAAGAUCCACCACUCUCUGUAACAGCAGGAUCAACUCAUUCUCAUCUGAGGACAGCGUGGAAAGGAUUUUCCCCAAACCCCACCAAAUAAUUCCAAGAAGCCAUCAUGAUGCAAGGUGGGGAGGGGAAGUGGGGUAUAUCAGAGGUGAUGAAGUGGGGAUGGAAGUAGAUCAAGAAGACCAGUGCUAACUCUUGUCAAAGAAAAUCAGCAUGUCCAUUCCCCCACCUUUUCCUCACGGCUGCUAGAGCAAAAGACCAUAAGGAACGCUCUGCUCCACCCCUACCCUCACCAAAUACCCAAGGCAGGAAGGGGCCUGGGGAUUGGCUUGCAGCAUAGAUUAUUUAUCUUCAACAGAGUGGACUUACAUACUUUCAUCUUGUAUUUGCCCAAGGACAGGUCAUUACAAAGGCUUCACCAGAAUUAUGCAGCUGUCAUUCUACUCAGAUCCAGAUCCCCUGUCUUGCAAACCUCAAGGCAAGGUUACCUGAGCUUUGCACCCGUCUCCAAGGAUAUAAUCUGCAAGAAUCUAGUGAAGGUCUUCUGGGGGAAAGAGUGGAGGGGAGGGAUCUGGAAUGUUAUUUUUGAAUUCCCUAUUAAUUAGAACAAUAAUAAUCAUGUUCCUUUGGUUACGGUUCUCGCCCCCGCCCUACGUAGAUUCACUUGGAGAAGAUAAUCAAGAAAAAAAAUGUGUUUCCAGCCCUCUUGUAUAAUUUAAAUAUUUUUCUUACUUUAAAACAGCACAUUUACUCCAAGCAGGUGUUUUCUCUACAGAGCAUGACCUUGUCGUGAGAGGUGACUUUUCAAUCAGAGACACAGGUGACUGCUCCAGGAUUCUGGCUGGCCCUGGCAGCCCAGGUGGUUGCUGGCGGGGGGCCGCUCCCUGGCCUCUCGCUUCUUCCCUCACACCGCCUCCUCUCGGGCAAGAAGAUGCAUCUGGUCUGUAUCUGAACACCGGCUUUGCAACACAAUGUGACUUAGCCAGCAGGGAGCAGGGCUGGGACAGCUCCUAAGCCCUUCUUUCCUCAGAAUCAGAGGUGCUGAUACUCCACAUUUAUGUAUUCAUUAACGAAUAUUUAUUGAGCCACCCCCAAGAGAGCACCAAGAUGAAAAAGCAUGAGUUCCAGAGGCUGCCCAGGCUCAGCGCUGCCUCUGCUGCCACCUCUGAGCUCUGGGACCUUGGCAAAUUAUGAACUCCUUUAAGCCUCCAUUUCCUCUUCUAUAAAAGAGGGAGAGCGAUAUAGUUCCUAUCUGGUAGGAAUUCAGCGAGGAUCAAAUGAGAUAAGGUUUGUAAAGGUCUCAGCCCAUUGGAAGAACUGGUAGCUAUUCGGCAAACUGGAUUUGAUAGGCUGUGAGCAGAAGACAAGUUAAUUUGCUCCUCUGCUGCCCUUUCUAAUCCCGUCAGGCAGGUCCUAUAAUGUUUUGUGUCACUCUCAGAUCAUAAAAAGUCCUCUGAUCAGUUUUCGUGCCAAGAGUCGUCUCCUUUCAGAAAGUCAAAUGUUUGGCCUGGCGUAACACCGAAUCCUGGAGCUCUGUCUAAUUGAGAGCUUCUCUCCACCCAGCUUGCCACAGGCCAGGAAGCCCAAGUGGGGGAGGGGAGAGGAGCCAGCCUCCUUCCUCCGCCCUCCUGGCUCUACUUCCUACCCACUCAGUAGCUAUGAUGUUGGACUUGGCAAAGGUCGGGGGCAGAGGAGGUUACAGUGCCCUGGCUGGUGCUGAGUGAGAUUUUUCCUGGUGGAAUUCGAGGACGAGCCAUGGCUCUAACUUCUAGCAUGAACUGGGGCAUCAAUCUCCUCAUCUCUCUGACCUUUUUGACUGUGACAGAUCUCAUUGGCC